UAGUAGAAUUUUUUUCCCCCUUUUUUUUAAAUCAUGUUCUUACUGUUCUCCUCUCGCUCGUUCACUUUCCACUUAUCUCUCGUUGGUUAUGCGUUUUAAUUUUUUGUUUUGAUUUACUUUAUGGCCAGAAAAGUGUGACAAAUACGCUGGUCACAUUUGAGAAGCGAGGCGCCAUCAAUAUUAAAUUUCCACUUCCACUUCCAAAUUCCACUUCUCAAUAGACUCACGUUACGAGGCACCAACCAAACUUGCUUCUACAAAAGAUUUCACAUAAAUUUGUUUUUAUAUUUUUUUGGAACAAACUUUAUAAAACCUUGAUAGAACGUUGCUCAUAAAGUGAUAAAUAUAUUGAGUUUUCUACUACGCAUCCGUUCCGACAAUUUCUCUUCCCUACGCAUUCGCUCAGAAUCUCUCUCUUUCUCUCUCUGUGAUUCUCUCCUUCUUUCUUUCUUUCUUGAUCUCAUGUACAACAAUUAUAGCAUUGUCUUAGUCGAUCUGUUCCACAACCCUUUUUAUAGUGUGCGUUUUGUGCGUGGACCCCGUUGGGGAUCCAAUUACCGGAAGGAGCCAGACUGACAUAUUGUCCCCGUCUCUGCGCCUAUUUUACAGGGGUUUCGAAACGGAAUUGAACUGUUUUUGAAUAUAUUUUUUUUCUAUUCUAAUAAAAAGAGAGCAUUUAGAGUAAGGUCUGCAAUGUUUCCUGUGGAAGAUAAAACUAAUAUUAAUGUCUCUAAAACUUCAAACUAAGAACAAUCUGUUAGCAAAAACAACAAACUGCAUCCAGUAGGAAUACAUUGAGGGAUGAAGUCCCCAACAUUUUGCUUCAGUUUCGAUGUUCUGUUUAGCUGAAUUGGAGUUUUUUUGUGUGGUUCUCUCUGUUUUAUUCUCGCUACAUCCAUACACACUGGUAAAAGGGUGUUUGUUGCGUUUGCUCCCGAUUUCAAAUGCACAUAUUGGUGUGACUGGAUUUUUUUUUUGCCGUCCCGCGUCUAGGUUGAUGUCUGUAUAUUGGUGCGUGGCGAAAAUGCGUACAUCUCUCUCGUUUCAUUCGCUGAAUAUUUCUUGGUCUGAACACACGCAAAAUUUCCAAAAAGGUUCGUUUAGUGCUUUACCGUAUGAAGAUUGGAGUUGCUCUACCGGAACACUAUAUAAAAAUUUAAACGUUUGUACAUUACAGCAAUCAAAAUUAAAACACCGAUCCAUCAGACACCGGAUUACGGAGUAAAGCCUAAAAGCAAAUCAUCUAACAUUGGGAACAAUUUAAAACAACGGAAAAAAAACUUUGCUUCACUUCAAGCUUACAGAUUCAUCCUUCAAAGCACCGAAGAUGACCGCUAUCAAUAAUGGAGGGCGUCGCUUCAAACGGCAAACAAUUCGGUUGAGGAGAGCCAGACAAGUAAUAUGCACUUUACGCCCAUUUGGCUAUGUCGCGGACAACAGAGCCCGUAUACGCAUUCCUUACCGCAACCAACGUACUGUAUACUCGCGGGAAAUUAUAAGCCUCUGCAAUGCACUGUGCAAUAUAGCUCUGGGUGCGACUUUCAGCUGGUUGUUGUUUCGGUGGAUGCUAGGCUAGGGUACGGAUCGGAUCAACCCAACAACGUCAGACAAUGUUACAAUUUGGAUAAUGCGAAAUUCCAUUUUCUAUUUAUUUUUUUUCUAUUUUUGUUAGUUUAUUUUCGGAUAUAGAACGAAAUUUUGUGCGAACGAUUUAACGGAGUUUAUUAGAAUGAAAACGACUGGAAAGGAUAAUAUAUUACGUCUGUAUUACUCUAAUCGGUUUUUGGUACCUCACUGUUAGUUGAAAGUAUGAUGACAAGUAUGAGUAAGGAUUUCCAACUACUUUACUGGAGCGCACCACUUGUUUUGUUAUGGAAUUAUUUAAUUUAAUCUGCUUUUAAGACUACAGAAUGAUAAUUUAAAACAAAUGUUCUAAUGAAAUGAUACAAGAAGGAAUAAAAGAAAGUUUCGUAAACUUCAUUCAAGAAGUAUAAAAAAAAUAAAAUAAAAUAAAUAAUAGAACAUUUAUAAGAGCAUAAUUGAAGAAAAUUCAGACAAGCACCACUCCACAAAGGCAUCAAGGUUAAAGGUAUUAGGCGAUCAGAAGACGAAGACACAGGGAGAAAGCUAUCAUCUGCAUAUAGAAGAUGACCAUCAGGAGGUAGGACAUUACAAACAUCGUUUGACCUAACAAAGUAAAGGGAAGGGGACUAAGCACGCAACUUUAAGAAACAUGAGACGUUCAAUGAAGUGUGGCACACUUCCAAUCGGCCUGGUUCCGGUCUUCCGAUCGUGUUAAGCGAUUGAAGUGAUUAACCGGAUGUUCAGGAUGGAAAUCUAAUGUCAAUAUGGGCAACCUCCUUGAUGUGGUGUACACUUCCUUGGAAAGAUGGACGUGGAGUAAUGGUCAAAAAAUGUGUAGCCAAAUAGCGUUAAUUUUUUUAAUUUUUUAAAAAUUUUUUUAUUUAAAACAUUAUUUGAGUGAAAAGAAACUCAUUGCAACCCAUUGGCAUUAAAAUAAAUCAAUUUAAUUUUUUUUGCAAAAUUUCUCAAAAAAAACGUAAGGGGUAAGCCUUAUGAAAUUUUCGAGUGGAAAAUUUUUUUGAAAUUUUUUUCUGAUUUUUUAUUCUUUUUUUAAUUAAUAGCACUAUUUAAGUGAAAAGAAACUUAUUGCAACAAAUUCCCAUCAAAAUAUAUCACAUUUAAAAUUUUUGCUACAUUGCUCAAAAAUGAGGAAAAAUUUUUAUUUUCUCAAACAGGGUAAGGAACUUGGUUCCUCGAAUAACUUCUGGCACAGACAUCUGAGGGCAUGGCUGUCCAAGAAGAAAAUGUAGCCAUUGGUGCCAUCUAUCGACCACAAGUUAAAGUUUGGCGAUCCGUUGGAUACCGACCGAGUUAUAGGCAAAAGUUGGUGCAAAAAUGAGGAAAAUUUUACACUUUCUCAAACAGGGUAUGGAACUUGGUUCCUCGAAUAACUUCUGGCACAGACAUCUUAGGGCAUGGCCGUCCAAGAAGAAAAUGUAGCCAUUGGUGCCAUCUAUCGACCACAGGUUAAAGAUUGGCAAUUCGUUGGAUACCGACCGAGUUAUAGGCAAAAUUUGGUGCAAAAAUGAGGAAAAUUUUCAUUUUUUUUGAAUUUUUUGAUUUUUUUAUUAUUUUUCACUCUGUUUUUUAUUUCAAGCAUUAUUAGAGUGAAAAGAAACUCAUUGCAACCCAUUGGCAUUAAAAAAAAACAAUUUAAUUUUUUUUGCAAAAUUUCCCAAAAAAAUCGUAAGGGGUAAGCCUUAUGAAAUUUUCGAGUGGAAAAUUUUUUUGAAAUUUUUUUCUGAUUUUUUAUUCUUUUUUUAAUUUAAAGCACUAUUUAAGUGAAAAGAAACUUAUUGCAACAAAUUCCCAUCAAAAUAUAUCACAUUUAAAAUGUUUGCUACAUUGCUCAAAAAUGAGGAAAAAUUAUUAUUUUCUCAAACAGGGUAAGGAACUUGGUUCCUCGAAUAACUUCUGGCACAGACAUCUGAGGGCAUGGCUGUCCAAGAAGAAAAUGUAGCCAUUGGUGCCAUCUAUCGACCACAGGUUAAAGAUUGGCGAUCCGUUGGAUACCGACCGAGUUAUAGGCAAAAUUUGGUGCAAAAAUGACCCUUAGUAAAUUUUCAUUUUUUUGAAUUUUUUGAUUUUUUUAUUAUUUUUCACUCUUUUUUUAUUUCAAGCAUUAUUAGAGUGAAAAGAAACUCAUUGCAACCCAUUGGCAUUAAAAUAAAACAAUUUAAUUUUUUUUGCAAAAUUUCCCAAAAAAAUCGUAAGGGGUA